CGCUUCGGCUGUGAGACCCGCGGGGGACCAAGACACUUUGGGGGAGGGGGAGAGGGGGCUAGGAGAAAUUACUGAGAAAGGAUAAGGGACACCCUCAAGCCGGGCCUUCCUGACCUCACAUGACAUGCCUUAGUGAACUGCUGCUUCUCCGUGAAGGAUGAGUCGGGGAGGGGCUCGCAGGCCAGGAGGACAGUGCCUGAGCCCCUGGUCUCUGCCUCCAGUUCUGCAGGAAUUCUCCAAGGAGGAGCGAGACCCAGUGAAAGCUCAUGAAGGCUGGGGGGUGAUGUUGCCCUGUAACCCACCUGCCCACUACCCAGGUGAGUCCAGACCUGGGGCCAGGGUUAGAGAGGGCACAGGAAGGGCUUCCAGAUGCUUGGCAGAGGAAGGAUGGAAUAAAAGGAGACCCCUGGAAAUGACCCUUAGAAGCACCCAUCCCUGGGACCCUAACUUUAAAUGAUCUGUGUUUCCUUUAUAGGUCUGUCACUUUCCAUCGUUGUGCCCUGCUUCCGCCUUCAAACUGGGUGGCCCCUGAGGGCUGCGAUCCCUGGCAGACUUAGCGCUCCCUGAGGGCAGGAAUAAAGUCACUUCUUCCCUCUAGGUCUCCCCUUAGCCCCAGUUCAGAGCAUGGUGGCUGUCAGGACAGGGCUUGCAGAACCGCACCAGCAUGCUGGGGUCCCACCCAGAGUGGCCCUGUUAGCCCAGCACCCCCUGGUUUCCUCAAACUCCUCACAUCCUAGGCUUGUCCUACCGCUGGCUCCUCAACGAGUUCCCCAACUUCAUCCCGACGGACGGGCGUCACUUCGUGUCCCAGACCACAGGGAACCUGUACAUUGCCCGAACCAAUGCCUCAGACCUGGGCAACUACUCCUGUUUGGCCACCAGCCACAUGGACUUCUCCACCAAGAGCGUCUUCAGCAAGUUUGCUCAGCUCAACCUGGCUGCUGAAGGUCAGGCUUGGCCAGGCGUGGCUGGAGGGAGGGAACUGGAAGGGUCAGCGGGCAUUAGGAAAAGGGUUUUUCCUUUGGAGAUUGGAAGAUCAGCUUGCAGGGCACUGAUUCCAGGCCCUGGACCCCCAGAUCCUCCUGCUUCAAAUCCUGAGGCCCUUGCCCCAGGCCUCAAGGAGAUUCCACACAGCUGCCUAGACAGAGUUGGCUCUGAAAGGUGCUGAGAUCCCAUGCACGGGAGCACCUGACCUGGAGUCAUCUGCAUCUGAUUUGUAAAACCCUCUCUCCCCAGAUACCCGGCUCUUUGCACCCAGCAUCAAGGCCCGGUUCCCAGCAGAGACCUAUGCACUGGUGGGGCAGCAGGUCACCCUGGAGUGCUUCGCCUUUGGGAAGUGAGUGUGAAGAGGGAGGGGAAGCAGAGCACGGUCUCUCGGGGGCACAGGUGACCCCAGGGUGAGGGCAGGCAGAGUCAGGGCUCUUAUCUUGGUGUCCCUCACAGGGUCUAGCAAAGUACUGGGCACACAGUGGGUAUCGACCACCACUCACUGGACAGUACCUCUCUGGGUGAGGCAUCGCAUAUGCCAGGGGCCUUCCAUGGCCAGGAUCACUUGGUCUUCCAGCAGUGCAUGGCAGGCUCAGACAGCUUGAGUAACACCCAGGGCUGGAGGCAGGCAGCACAGUGUACAGACUCCAACCCUGUCUGUCUCAUUCAGAUCCCAGCUCUGCCACCCGCAGACCUUGGGUAAACUGCCUAACCUCUCUGUGCCUCAGUUUCUUUAUGGUGGUGAUAAUAGUACCUACCUCAUAGGGUUGUCAUGAGGAUUAAAUCAGUUCAUAUAUGUGAGAUACUUAGAACAGUGCCUGGAAUUUAGUUAAGUGUUCCGUGAAUGUUAACAGUGAUCUAUUUGAGAAUGGCAGCAGAAAGUGUUCUCUUUCUCGUACUCCUAGAAGAAGGAGUCACUAGAACAGGGCUAAGCAAAUAGCAGGUGCUCAAUAAAUGUUUGUAGUAUGAAAGAAAGAAUGUGAUUUGUACUUUGGCCCCCUCCUCCCUCAACUAUCUCCUAUGGUUACCUGGGAGAAUCUCUGCCUUGUGGGAAGUUUUGGGCUUCCAGAAAAUCCACAUGAAAAGCAUGUGGAAGUGGGGCCAGGUGCGGUGGUUCAUGUCUGUAAUCCCAGCACUUUGGGAGGCCGAGGUGGGAAGAUCAUGAGGUCAGGAGAUCGAGACCAUCC
rnacentral:lncRNA from 10 species